rnacentral:piRNA from 1 species
UGAACCAUGCAUUAGUCUUUGGACAGGGC